rnacentral:rRNA from 1 species
UCUGCCUACGGGACGCAGCAGUGAGGAAUAUUGGUCAAUGGCCGCAGGGCUGAACCAGCCAAGUCGCGUGAGGGAUGACGGUCCUAUGGAUUGUAAACCUCUUUUGUCAGGGAGCAAAGGGCGCCACGUGUGGCGCUUUGCGAGUACCUGAAGAAAAAGCGUCGGCUAACUCCGUGCCAGCAGCCGCGGUAAUACGGAGGAUGCGCGCGUUAUCCGGAUUUAUUGGGUUUAAAGGGUGCGCAGGCGGAAUGUCAAGUCAGCGGUAAAAUUUCGGGGCUCAACCCCGUCGUGCCGUUGCAACUGGG